GGCCUCGGCUGGCCGCUGACGGGCCGCAGAGGCCCGGGGAAACUCCGCCCUCCCCGCGGCGCCGGGGCCCCGCAAGGGGCGCGGGUGAUACCCGCGGCAACGGCACAGAAACGGCACGCCCGCCCAGGGAGGACGGUGAAGCGGCGAGGGCCCGCCGGCGACGGCGGGCCAGUAACCCGCAGAGGACCUGGGCGGGUGCGUUGAAACGGCCGUCCCCCGGGGAGCAAGGCGGCGCGCCGAUGAGGGCCGCGCGAGCGGCGCGCCGGGUCCGCUUAGUCGGAUGCGGCCGAAGGUACAGAAGGCGGGUUAUAGCCGGGGCC
rnacentral:RNase_P_RNA from 1 species